rnacentral:rRNA from 1 species
GAUGAACGCUGGCGGCGUGCCUAAUACAUGCAAGUCGAGCGAACAGACGAGGAGCUUGCUCCUCUGACGUUAGCGGCGGACGGGUGAGUAACACGUGGAUAACCUACCUAUAAGACUGGGAUAACUUCGGGAAACCGGAGCUAAUACCGGAUAAUAUAUUGAACCGCAUGGUUCAAUAGUGAAAGACGGUUUUGCUGUCACUUAUAGAUGGUUCCGCGCCGCAUUAGCUAGUUGGUAAGGUAACGGCUUACCAAGGCAACGAUGCGUAGCCGACCUGAGAGAGUGAUAGGCGACACGGGAACGGAGACGCGGUCCAGACGCCUAAGGGAGGCAGCAGUAGGGAAUCGUACGCAAUAGGCGAAAGCAUGACGGAGCAACGCCGCGUGAGUGAUGAAGGUCUUCGGAUCGUAAAACUCUGUUAUUAGGGAAGAACAGAUGUGUAAGUAACUAUGCACGUCUUGACGGUACCUAAUCAGAAAGCCACGGCUAACUACGUG